rnacentral:rRNA from 1 species
GAUGAACGCUAGCGGCAGGCUUAAUACAUGCAAGUCGAACGGCAGCACAGCAGAGCUUGCUCUGUGGGUGGCGAGUGGCGGACGGGUGAGGAAUACAUGGGAAUCUGCCCAGUCGUGGGGGAUAACGUAGGGAAACUUACGCUAAUACCGCAUGCGCCCUUCGGGGGAAAGCCGGGGACCUUCGGGCCUGGCGCGAUUGGAUGAGCCCAUGUCGGAUUAGCUAGUUGGCGGGGUAAUGGCCCACCAAGGCGACGAUCCGUAGCUGGUCUGAGAGGAUGAUCAGCCACACUGGAACUGAGACACGGUCCAGACUCCUACGGGAGGCAGCAGUGGGGAAUCUUAGACAAUGGGCGCAAGCCUGAUCUAGCCAUGCCGCGUGAGCGAUGAAGGCCUUAGGGUUGUAAAGCUCUUUCAGUGGGGAAGAUAAUGACUGUACCCACAGAAGAAGCCCCGGCUAACUCCGUGCCAGCAGCCGCGGU